rnacentral:lncRNA from 1 species
AAUAUCCAAAAAUCAUAUUUUCUUUAAAAUUAAUCAUAAUAUAUAUAAAAACCUAAAUUUAAUAUUUCCCCAUGGUCGACCCUGCAGGAGUGCCUAGCACCCUGAGUUCGGGUUCGGGUUCGGGUUCAUACCCGUAGGCCACCCUCUUCCCUUUAUUUUACUAUUAUUAUUAUUAUUGUCUUUUCUUUUCUUUCCUUCCCCUUUUUUUU